GUUUUAAUAAUUUAAUAAAAAUAUUGAUUUUGUAAAUCAAAAAUAAGAAAGUAUCUUUUAAAACU
rnacentral:tRNA from 1 species